GAAGGAAGUCUGCCUCAUGGAGAACCUGACCUUUGAUUUGCAUGUGCUGGUGAGGAGACACAAGGUUCUGCCUCUGGAGAGAUCCCGCCACCCCUACCAGCAGCAUCAUAAAACUGUGCUGCACUUCUUGUUAACAUUUUCCUUCUUCUGUUCUCUUUGGAGGGAUUUUUCAUAUGUCCUUGAAAGUAAAACCUUCUCAUCUCUGCUGACUUGAGGUCACUGCUCCAGAUAGGUUUGGGAGCUCUUCGUUUCCUAUGGUCACACUAUGCAUGCGUGGAAAAUUAAUGUCAACGACAAAACCUCUGCAAGGACAUCAGCACCCACCUGGGGAGCACCGUAGUGAGGCUGUGGAUGUCAGCAGGUGAUGCUGAGGCUUUCUGUGCAGCUGUACCUAUUUCAGUGCCAACCCUGCAGCUGCUUCUACUACAAUGCCCCUUCUCCUUAAGCCCGGAAAGUCACGGAGCUGCUCCCCUGGGCUGCCCCAACAAAGCCCCGCAGUGGCAGUAUUGGGCGAGCUGCAAUACCACAGCCCGCGCGUUAAACGGGAAAUGAAACAGAAAUGGAAAUGAACGCCCGCAUCUGUCCCGUUUUUAAGGUAAAGGCAGAAAUCACCUCGUGUCUCCCAGUCCGGCCACGUUCACCCAAGGAAGGUGGGGAGAAGUCAAUGUCCAGGGAAAAUGUGCAACCAUCAUCUGCAAACGAAGAGUGGGAAAUCCUACGGGAUACGGUGAUGGAGCAAAAGGGGGGGAUGGAAAACAUCUGUACGUCGGUUGAGCAUCGGGAGCCUUUGUGCCCGAGUCGUUUUGGAAGGCGGAGGGGCAUCGGGACUUCCCGUCCCUCCCUGUGCCCUUCCUGUGUUGCGCAGCGGUCACAGAGAAGGACGCACCGGGGAGCGCUGGGCACAGCCGUGUCCCCGAAAUUUGCACCUGCAAAGAGGGAGCGAGCCAGGCGAGGGGAAUGUGCGACGGGAUGGAGAAAUAUCGAAUGUUUCUGGCCGUGUGCGUUGCCAAAGGUUUGCACAUUUUGUCUGAAAACACCCAGAGUUAGAGGCGGAGGGGAGAGAGGGGGGAUUUUAAUAAAAACCAUUUGCCACUUGUCUUCAAUUAGAGUCCAGACAUCGAGCAAUAAGGAAAAAACCUUUUCUAAUAUAUAUAUAUAUUAUUAUUAUUAUUAUCUCGCUAG
ensembl:lncRNA